CCUUGGGUUGUACCGUGGCGGAGAUCUUUGUGGGCUAUACUCGGCCUUGUCUCAGGAUGGACCUGAGCCCUAGGACCAUGCCCCAGGACUACCAGACAUGAGGACUCCUUGCUGUCCCCAGUCCACCUGGCCAUGCUCCUGCUCCAGUUUCAACUGUUCUGCCUUACUAUUAUUCAACCAUGCUAGUCAUUUAUGAACAUUUGAACAUCUUGGCCACGUUCUGUUAUAAUCUCCACCCGGCACAGCCAAAGAGGACUGGCCACCCCACAUAUGCUCUCUCUAAUUCUCUCUUUCUUUCUCUCUCUCUCGGAGGACCUGAGCCCUAGGACAGUGCCCCAGGACUACCUGACAUGAUGGCUCCUUGCUGUCCCCAUUCCACCUGACUGCUGCUGCUCCAGUUUCAACUGUUCUGCCUUAUUAUUAUUCGACCAUGCUGGUCAUUUAUGAACAUUUGAACAUCUUGGUCAUGUUCUGUUAUAAUCUCUACCCGGCACAGCCAGAAGAGGACUGGCCACCCCACAUAGCCCGGUUCCUCUCUAGGUUUCUUCCUAGGUUUUGGCCUUUCUAGGGAGUUUUUCCUAGCCACCGUGCUUUUACACCUGCAUUGUUUGCUGUUUGGGGUUUUAGGCUGGGUUUCUGUACAGCACUUUGAGAUAUCAGCUGAUGUACGAAGGGCUAUAUAAAUAAAUUUGAUUUGAUUUGAUUUG